GCACUAUUCAGGGAAGUAUAGAUACAGCCAAUAAUGUCUCCAUAAAUUCUAGCCAGAAGAGUGACCUUAGUUGUCUAAGUCACUAUCUCACAAAAUAUCCAUAUUUUGUAGGCAAUGCAAAUGUUCCUUUUGGAUAGGCUUUCCAGAGCUGUGAGAAUCAAUAUAACUUUAACUGCACUUCUGUUGUUGUAGUUUUAGAACAGAUUUCUCUAAGCUCAUUUAUGACAUUGCCAGUUGUUAUGAAUCUAGAACCUAGGAGAGCUUCCCUCCUGGGAAGUACACUUAUCAUUGGAAUUGAAAGCUAAAUUCCUGUCCAUGUGUAGCUCUCUAAUAAACUUAAGUUGAGCUGCAGCUCACGUGAGACAGCAUAACAGAGGAUAGAGGGGAAGUCAGGAGGAGAAUGACAGCAUAAUGGAAGCACAGGGUUGCCAGGCAAGGAGCAAAAUGAGUUGUGCCAUCUCUACCCUGCAGCUGUGGUACCUGGGUGAAAAGGAGUGAAUCACUACUGAGCUUCAAUACAGCUAUAUUCAUCCUGUCUCAGUGCAAGAAUUAAUGAGGAUGAAGAAUGGGUCUCUGAUUUAGCUUCCCUGUUGGUGAUUGCAUUUUAAAUAUGAACAAUUUGGAAGUACAGCCCUUGAAAGCAUGCUCUCCUUAUUGCUUGAGAGAAGGCAACAAUAAAUGCUUCAGACUCUACCCAAAGUAAUUACUUUUGCUACAAUUUGCUUAAAAAGAUGCUACCUAAGGAAUCUGAAAAUUGCUUACCAGCUUAGAGACAGUCCAAAUUAAACUUUUGUUUAAGAUAGCAGAAAUAUGGCCAUGUGAAUUAGUACAAGGAAGAAAAGUCAUAUUUUGAAGUUGAACUGAUUUCUGUAGGGGCUGUUUUUGCUCAUCCUUAUCCUGACAUGGAAAACCUGAAUACUGCGCAUUCAGUAGCUGCUAUAUUUAGGCAGAGCCCUGCCUGUAUAUCUCUGCCAGUUAUUAAUGCUGUCAGGCAUGAUA